UACAGAGGUCUCAAGCGUUGUUCGGAUUCAUUGGGCGUAAAGGGUGCGUAGGCGGCGCGGUAAGUCGGAUGUGAAAUCUCGGAGCUUAACUUCGAAACUGCAUUCGAUACUGCCGGGCUUGAGGACUGGAGAGGAGACUGGAAUUUACGGUGUAGCGGUGAAAUGCGUAGAUAUCGUAAGGAAGACCAGUGGCGAAGGCGGGUCUCUGGACAGUUCCUGACGCUGAGGCACGAAGGCCAGGGGAGCAAACGGG
rnacentral:rRNA from 1 species